rnacentral:lncRNA from 10 species
CACUGGGCAAUUGGAAUGGGACCCAGUCUGGCACCAGACUGAGACUCCAAAGGAAGAUAGACUGUCAGUAUUCACAAGGCAGAUAAUCCACGGACCUUCAAACUUCCUUUAUGCCUCUUUCUGAAGCACAUUAAGCCCA